UACGUAGGGUGCAAGCGUUGUCCGGAAUUAUUGGGCGUAAAGAGCUCGUAGGCGGUUUGUCGCGUCUGCUGUGAAAACUCAGGGCUUAACCCUGAGCCUGCAGUGGGUACGGGCAGACUAGAGUGUGGUAGGGGAGAUCGGAAUUCCUGGUGUAGCGGUGAAAUGCGCAGAUAUCAGGAAGAACACCAAUGGCGAAAGCAGCUCUCUGGGACGGUACUGACGCUGAGACGCGAAAGCGUGGGGAGCGAACAGG
rnacentral:rRNA from 1 species